AUUGAACGCUGGCGGCAUGCUUUAUACAUGCAAGUCGUGCGGCAGCGCGGGGGCAACUCUGGCGGCGAGCGGCGAACGGGUGAGUAAUACAUAGGAACGUAUCCUGAAAUGGGGGAUAGCUCGGCGAAAGCCGGAUUAAUACCGCAUACGCUCCACGGAGGAAAGCAGGGGAUCGCAAGACCUUGCGUUUCUGGAGCGGCCUAUGUCUGAUUAGCUAGUGGCGGGUAAUAGCCCACCAAGGCGACGAUCAGUAGCUGGUCUGAGAGGAUGAUCAGCCACACUGGGACUGAGACACGGCCCAGACUCCUACGGGAGGCAGCAGUAGGGAAUUUUGGACAAUGGGGCAACCCUGAUCCAGCCAUGCCGCGUGAGUGAAGAAGGCCUGG
rnacentral:rRNA from 1 species